GAUGAACGCUGGCGGCGUGCUUAACACAUGCAAGUCGAACGAAGCACUUUAUUUGAUUUCCUUCGGGACUGAUUAUUUUGUGACUGAGUGGCGGACGGGUGAGUAACGCGUGGGUAACCUGCCUUGUACAGGGGGAUAACAGUUGGAAACGGCUGCUAAUACCGCAUAAGCGCACGGCAUCGCAUGAUGCAGUGUGAAAAACUCCGGUGGUAUAAGAUGGACCCGCGUUGGAUUAGCUAGUUGGUGAGGUAACGGCCCACCAAGGCGACGAUCCAUAGCCGACCUGAGAGGGUGACCGGCCACAUUGGGACUGAGACACGGCCCAAACUCCUACGGGAGGCAGCAGUGGGGAAUAUUGCACAAUGGGCGAAAGCCUGAUGCAGCGACGCCGCGUGAGCGAAGAAGUAUUUCGGUAUGUAAAGCUCUAUCUGCAGGGAAGAUAAUGACGGUACCUGACGAAGAAGCACCGGCUAAAUACGUG
rnacentral:rRNA from 1 species